AGGUGAUUGAUGCCCGGUGAAAGGGUGAAAGGGACCUAUACCCCCGUCAGCUGCAGGAAAGGAACAAAGAGACAGGUGAUUAAUGCCCGGUGAGAGGGUGAAAGGGACCUAUACCCCCGUCAGCUGCAGGAAAGGAACAAAGAGACAGGUGAUUAAUGCCCAGUGAGAGGGUGAAAGGGACCUAUACCCCCGUCAGCUGCAGGAAAGGAACAAAGAGACAGGUGAUUAAUGCCCGGUGAGAGGGUGAAAGGGACCUAUACCCCCGUCAGCUGCAGGAAAGGAACAAAGAGACAGGU